CGCGCAGGUGGUUGAUUAAGUCUGAUGUGAAAGCCCACGGCUUAACCGUGGGGGGUCAUUGGAAACUGGUCGACUUGAGUGCAGAAGAGGAUAGUGGAAUUCCAAGUGUAGCGGUGAAAUGCGUAGAGAUUUGGAGGAACACCAGUGGCGAAGGCGACUGUCUGGUCUGUAACUGACACUGAGGCGCGAAAGCGUGGGGAGCAAACA
rnacentral:rRNA from 1 species